AUGGAUGGAUGGAUGGAUGGACGGACGGACGGACUUGAGGGCAGCAGGUCUGUAGUUUCCUGCACGUGCAGGUGUCCCCAGAGGGCCUCGUGCUGGCCACCCGGGCCCCUCCGUGUGUCGUCCUGGGGUCAGGCAGCAGGCGUGGCCACCUCCUGCUUGCUGGGAAUGUCCUCAGCCCCCCCGGGAGACCAGGGCCCCACGAGUCAGUCCCCAGGCGUCUGCUCCCCACCCCCACCCCUUGCAUCCCUGGGGCAUUUCACAGUGCGAAAGCAAGGACGCUGGUGCAGGGGAGUGGCGCCAGCCCGUGAGAGGGGCGGAGUCCUGGCAUCACGGUCAGUGGCCCUGGAGGAGACGCUGGGUCUCAGGUGGCAACUUCACGGCAGCACUGGGGCGUUUCACUAUCGGCGGGGCGCGCAGGUGCCUCCCGAGCACAGAUCCUGCACAGAGAUGUACACCUUGCUCACAGGGUGCGUGCAGCCUGGCCGCGGAGACUCGGCCAUCCGGCCUCAACUGAGCGGCCAGGCACUGCAGGCCCUGGUAGACGGGGCCAGACGGCCCCUGCCCUCCGGAGCGCACGCUUCUCCAGGAGCGCCAUCUGCGCGCGCAGCCGCAGCGCCGUCCCUGGUUGGGGCUGACACGCCAGGUUUGCGAGCUCUGGAGACUUGUCGGGGUUACAGCGCUUGCCGAUUCCCGGUGUUUCAGGCAAGGACACAAGAGUCCACGAAGUCUAGGCCGGGGGUCGAGGCCAGGCCCAGUCCUCCUUGCCCUUCCCUGCCCCUCCCCCACGCACCAUGUCCCUGCUCCUGUCCUGAAAACUGCAGCUCCAAGGGGAUGGAGAAAGCGCCAGGGAUGACGCGCUGGCCCGGUCACAAAGGGCAGGUUGCCGCGCUGUGGACAGCUGAUGGCUGCAAGGACUCAAGAGAGCGGGGCCCAGGCCCUGCCCCACCCUUCCAGCGAGCCCCGGUCUGGGGCCCCCCAGAGGUCAAGUCCUGCUGCAUGUGUCGGUGUGAGGACACGAAGCUGGGGACUGGGUUUCAGGUUUACCUGGAAACCAGGCAGCGUGGGGAAGUGAGUGGCUACGCCCAGGCUUUGCCAGGCCUCCAGUUGCCCAGCACGCUCACGUCUGGACGUGCCGUGCUUGCUGACGCUGGCUGGCCGGGGAUGCUCCAGGCUUGGUAG
rnacentral:lncRNA from 1 species